GACGAACGCUGGCGGCGUGCUUAACACAUGCAAGUCGAACGGAGAGGCCCUGUUCUUGUGGGGUGUUCGAGUGGCGAACAGGUGAGUAUAACGUGAGUAACCUGCCCUUGACUUUGGGAUACAUUCAGGAAACAGGGGCUAAUACAGGGUAUGAACACCUGCUGCACGGUGGGGGAUGGUAAAAUUCGCCAUUUGGUGAGGGACGGAUGAUCUCGCGGUUUAUUAGCGUGGUGGUGGGUUAGAGGGUUUCCAAGGCGUGGCCGGAUAGCCGGGCUGAGAGGGUGACCGGCCACAUUGGGACGGGGGUGCGGGCCAGACGCCUACGUGAGGCAGCGGUGGGAAAUUGUGCACAAUGGGCGGAAGCCUGAAGCAGCAACGCCGCGUGCGAGAUGACGGCCUUCGGGUUGUAAACCUCGUGCGCCUGGGACGAAGCGUGAGUGACGGUAAUGAGUAAAGAAGCACCGGCUAACUACGUG
rnacentral:rRNA from 1 species